GAACAUAUGUGCAUGUUGCUCUGGGGCUCCCAGAUCUUCAUCUCAGAUAUUCUGGGUGGUCCCAGGGCUUGUGCGUGCCCCCAGCCAGCGAAACCCCUUGCUGCGGGACGUUGUGGACACGGAACAGCUUGGAGGUGACCAGGUCAUGAAGGAAAAAGCAUUUGAAGGUUACGAAGUGCAAAGAUGCAUCCAGCUCAGGAGGUCCUGGAAGCUGGAGCCCAGAAAGGAUUUCGGGACUGUGUCCCUCCACCCUGGUCCUGCUCUUGUGACGCUUCUUCAGGCAUCUGCUGUGGUUGAUGGCAGACGAGACCGUGGGGCAAUCGGACCUUCGUGCUUGUCCCUGAGACCUCUCAUUGGUAGCCUGGCCAUGUUUCGGCAGGAGUCCACGUGUCUGCAUGAUCGGCACGCAGCCGGCAGCUGGGAUUGUACGUCGGGAGAAUAUUUGGCCACAGAUGCGAAGUGAGUUGCAGGACUUCAUUCAGGGCGGUGAAUGCGAGGAGAGGAGAACAAAAAAAGGAGGAGAGAGUGGAAUACAGAUGAUGACUGCCAGGAGCUUCUGCCACUGGAGUCCAUGGCGUACACCGUGACUCCCACGCCAGCGGGGCCCGUCGGCUCCCAGUACUGUGUCUGCAAAGUCGAGUUGUCCGUCUGCGGCCAAAACCUUCUGGACAGGGAUGUCACUUCCAAAUCUGACCCCUUCUGCGUCCUCUUCAUGGAAGUCAAUGGGAAGUGGAUGGAGGCUGGUCCUCGUUCGUCCCCACGCAGAGGUGGAAGCUCUUCUGGUCCUCCCGAGGCUGUGUGCGUGGUGCCGCUUGACAGGACAGAGACAGCUGUGAACAACCUCAACCCAGCUUUUGCCAAGAAGUUCAUCAUCGACUACCACUUUGAAGAAGUGCAGAAGCUCAAGUUUGCCCUGUUUGACCAGGACAAGUCGAGCAUGCAGCUGUAUGAGCAUGACUUCCUGGGUGAAUUCUCCUGCACGCUGGGCAUGAUCGUCUCCAGCAAGAAAAUAACAAGGACCCUCCUUCUGGGGAAUGGCAAGCCGGCUGGAAAAGGGAUGAUAACGAUAGCUGCCCAAGAGCUCUCGGAUAACAGGGUGAUUACUCUGAGCAUGGCUGGCAGAAAACUGGAUAAAAAGGACCUGUUUGGAAAGUCAGACCCCUUCUUGGAGUUUUAUAAACCGGGUGACGAUGGGAAAUGGAUGCUGGUCCAUAGAACGGAGGUGAUCAAGUACACACUGGACCCCGUCUGGAAGCCGUUCACUGUGCCUUUGGUGUCACUGUGCGAUGGAGAUGUAGAGAAGCUGAUAAAGGUGAUGUGUUAUGACUAUGACAGUGAUGGGGGACAUGACUUCAUCGGGGAGUUUCAGACCUCGGUGGCCAGGAUGUGCGAAGCCCAAGAUGCCUUUCCACUCGAGCUAGAGUGCAUUAACCCCAAAAAGCAGAAGAAGAAAAAGAAUUACAAGAACUCUGGGAUCAUCAUUGUCAAGUCCUCCAAAGUAACCAGAGAUUUCUCCUUCCUGGACUACAUCCUGGGAGGCUGCCAGCUAAUGUUUACUGUUGGGAUUGACUUCACAGCCUCCAAUGGGAACCCACGAGACCCCUCCUCUUUGCACUAUAUCAACCCCAUGGGGACAAACGAGUACUUGUCGGCUAUCUGGGCUGUCGGCCAGAUCAUCCAGGACUAUGACUCAGACAAGAUGUUUCCUGCUCUGGGAUUUGGCGCCCAGCUCCCGCCAGACUGGAAGGUGAAGUGUUGUGGCCAUCUGUAUCCCAUGAGUUUGCCAUUAACUUCAAUCCCACAAACCCGUUCUGUUCAGGUGUGGAGGGCAUCGUCCAAGCGUACUCAGCCUGCCUGCCCCACAUCCGCUUCUACGGACCCACCAACUUCUCCCCCAUUGUCAACCACGUGGCCCGCUUCGCAGCUCAGGCCACCCAACAGGAGGCUGCAUCCCAAUACUUCAUCCUCCUCAUCAUCACGGAUGGGGUGAUCAGCGACAUGGAUGAGACAAGACACGCUGUGGUGCAGGCAUCCAAGCUGCCCAUGUCCAUCAUCAUCGUGGGGGUGGGGAACGCCGACUUUGCUGCCAUGGAGUUCCUGGAUGGGGACAGCCGGGUGCUGCGCUCCUACACCGGCGAGGAGGCCGUGCGCGACAUCGUCCAGUUCGUGCCCUUCCGGGAUUUCCGCAACGCCCCCAAGGAGACCCUGGCCAAAGCUGUGCUGGCAGAGCUGCCCCAGCAAGUCGUGCAGUACUUCAAGCACCAAAACCUGCCGCCCAUCAACUCGGAGCCCGCGUAGAGCUGUGCCAGGCUGUGCCCUCUGCAUGUUGCUGAAGCCUGUCGGUCCUACCGAAAACGCAUGUUCCACAUGCUUUUAAGAGAAUACCCUCCCUGAAAUACUUUGUACUCCUUAAUUUAAUUGCCAAGUUCUUAAAACUCAUCCCAGAGAAGCUGGAUUCAUUUUGUACAGUCCUGGCCCGAGGUAACACUAAGCGGCCAGGCCAUGCCCUGGUCCUGCUCUGUUGAGUCACUUUUCAGUAUUGAAUGUACUUUGUAUAAUUUCAGUGGAACAGGAUACAAUUUUUACAAUCAAAACUUGCUUUUUCCAAGCAAUGAAAUGCUUAAUAUAUUAUUAUUAUUCAAUGAACUGGUCAUUGUAUAGUUCAUGUAUCUGUGUUGUUGUACCUGUACAUCUGUCAUGCUCUAUGUUCAUUUUUAUACUGUGUACAUGUUAUAUUUGUUAUACUCAGGUUAAUAAAGGAACUUGGACAUUUAAAACAAGGGACUCCCAGAUGGGAAGGUCUGGGGGCACCUUACAUGGUCA